UGGAUCCAUUAAAAGCUUCUUCCUAGUAAAGAUUUUUAUUACUUCACUAGUGACAAUAGAGGAAACCUUUAGAGACAUACAAUCUGCCAUGCAAUGAUAGGGAACAAAUAACAUGGGUGACUUUGACCUCCUAUUUCAUACAGACUUCACAUAAAACUUGUAAGACAAACCCUUGUGAAGAGCGCCUGAAGUGUGUCCUACAGGCUACAACAACUCCUCAUCUGAACCCAACUUGUUGCAUUUUAUCCAGGUUUGUUGUCUAUGCCGUGCUGCAAUCAAAUAGUUCCAUAGGGUUGAAGACAAUAUUCAGCUUGACAGCUCACAAAGUCUCUGGUCAAUGUCAGAAAGCUAUUCAAACUACAAGAAAGUUCAAUGAAGGCUUCUUCUGCACAUGGGACUGCGAGACUACCUCUUGGAUGAUCAAAGCCAAACUCCUCUUCCAGCCUGAUUUAUCAAUUCCUAAAUCUGCUUAGUCUGAACAAGUGCAGGGAAUCGUGAGGCCGCCUGUAGGAUGACUAUAUCCGAACUCUUCUUCUGACUUGCCUAGCAAAUCUUGAAAUAAUUGC